rnacentral:rRNA from 1 species
AGGUGCUACAAAACCAGCAUUAAUGCACCCGAUCCCAUCAGAACACCGCAGUUAAGCGUGCUUGGGCGAGAGUAGUACUAGGAUGGGUGACCUCUUGGGAAGUCCUCGUCUUGCACCCA